GUUGAAACCUGUUAAUAUAGGUGCUGAUCUGUUAAGUACUUAGGGCUCUGUUCUGUUGUUUAGAAUUAUGAAGUUUAAAGAUUUUGAAGCCUUAGAACUUACAAGUGAAGGGUGGUCUUGUUAACUUAAAAUUUAAUUCUCAUCUUUCCAAUAGAAAUUUAGGUGUCUAUUUGGAAAUUAUGCAUGGAAGUAAGCUUGUUAGAUGCAAUAGAUAGGCAUGUAAGAACUAUGUAUGCCAUGUUUAGGCAGGCAGCAUUAGCUAGUAGGCAGGAGCAAUGCCAUGCGUAGAAUAUUCUCAGACCAACUUAUGUGAAUUAAAAUUAAAUCUUCU
rnacentral:misc_RNA from 1 species